GAUGAAGAACGUAGUGAAACGCGAUAGGUAAUGUGAAUUGCAGAAUUCAGUGAAUCAUCGAAUCUUUGAACGCACCUUGCGCCCUUUGGCCAUUCCGAAGGGCAUGCCUGUUUGAGUAUCAUGAACACCUCAACUCUUCAUGGUUUUCCGUGAUGAGCUUGGACUUUGGGGGUCUUGCUGGCCUAUGGUCAGCUCCUCUAAAAUAAAUCAGCUUGCCAGUGUUUGGUGGGUAUCACAGGUGUGAUAACUAUCUACGCUUGUGGUUUUCCACCAGGUAACCUUCAGCAGUGGAGGUUCGCUGGAGCUCACAGAUGUGUCUCUCCUCAGUGAGGACAGCUCUUUGAAUGUUUGAUCUCAAAUCAGGUAGGACUACCCGCUGAACUUAAGCAUAUCAAUAAGCGGAGGA
rnacentral:misc_RNA from 1 species